rnacentral:rRNA from 1 species
UACUUAGGGAUCUGCCUCUGUGUGGGGAGUAACUAUUGGAAACGAUAGCUAAUACCGCAUAAUGUCUACGGACCAAAGCGGGCUUCGGCUCGUGCGCAGAGAGGAACCUAAGCGAGAUUAGCUAGUUGGUGAGGUAAAGGCUCACCAAGGCGACGAUCUCUAGCUGUUCUGAGAGGAAGAUCAGCCACACUGGAACUGAGACACGGUCCAGACUCCUACGGGAGGCAGCAGUGGGGAAUAUUGCACAAUGGGGGAAACCCUGAUGCAGCCAUGCCGCGUGUGUGAAGAAGGCCUUCGGGU